AGAACGAACGCUGGCGGCAUGCCUAAUACAUGCAAGUCGAACGAAUGCCCUUCGGGGUGUUAGUGGCGCACGGGUGCGUAACGCGUGGGAAUCUGCCCUUGGGUUCGGAAUAACAGUUAGAAAUGACUGCUAAUACCGGAUGAUGACGUAAGUCCAAAGAUUUAUCGCCCAGGGAUGAGCCCGCGUAGGAUUAGCUAGUUGGUGGGGUAAAGCCUACCAAGGCGACGAUCCUUAGCUGGUCUGAGAGGAUGAUCAGCCACACUGGGACUGAGACACGGCCCAGACUCCUACGGGAGCAGCAGUAGGGAAUA
rnacentral:rRNA from 1 species